UAUCUCUAUAAAUCUCAAACCCGUCCCUGUAUGGAAUACUGUUGCCAUAUCUGGGGCGGAUCUUCUAAUGCUCUUUCUUUUUUAGGUAAGGUGCAAAAAGGCAUUGUAAACAUAGUUGGAUCUGCUUUUGCAGCCACUGUCACAUCGUCAUGAUGUUGCUUCUCUUUCUCUUUUCUACAAAUACUAUAAUGGGCACUCAUCUAAAGAGCUAGCGUCCCUUGUUCCAUCUACUAAAAUUCUUCUCGUGUCACUCGCCAUUCAAUUAAGUCUCAUCCUUUUUCUGUGACUGUUCCUAACUGCUCCAAAAAUUCUUAUUCCUCUAGUUUUUUUCUUUGAACACCAGUUCUUUGGAAUUCGCUUCCUUCAACUUGCUUCUCUGAUUCAUUUAAUUUGCAAUCUUUUAAGUCAUCUGUCAAUCAUUAUCUUGCUCUACGAAAUCUAUCUUUUCUCUUCCAGUAACUUCAAAACUCUUAUAGUGGUUGCUAUAGUCUUGUUGGAAGCCAAGAUGUAAUAUAUAUAUAUAUAUAUAUAUAUAUAUAAAGUUAUAAUAGCAUAUUGUUUUUUAAUUAACUAGUAUAUAGUCUUACAUUCAUUUACUUACUUAUCUUAAGAAUAAUGAAAUAUAAAAAAGGUUUAAAGUUGACAAUAGUUUUGAUCUUUACUAGUGUGAUUCUCGGGCCAAGUUUCUUAAAGGUGAUCAAUCAUUUUUUCGAUACAAAUGUUGCAAAAAGUAGUAUAUUUUUUAUUAUGGUUGAAUGUUUAGUUUUCUUUUUAAGGAUAAAUUACUAUUAUAAAUUACAUAAAAAAUUUUGAUCUGUAAUUAUAUACAUAAUGCUCACUUUACAAAUAAACAUAAUUUACACAAAAUUUUAGAGUUGAUUAAAACACUAAUGUAUUGCUUCUAUGCCCAAUAUAACUUACAUUAAAUUGUCCCAUAUCAAUUACACUAGUGUUAUCUUUUUAAUUUAGAAAUAGAAGUUAUUAAAUGUUGGUGGCUCAUCAUGCAGUGCAUUUGAGAAGGGCAUGCUUUCAAAGGUUAAGACUGCUUUUCUGAUUCCUACAACAACAAAAAAACUUUAAAAUGCUGGUGGCAAUAUUUUAAAGAGUGCAUCGGAUCAAAAAGAAUGUGAAUGACGUCAACUGUUCGAACAUUCGAACAUAAUGACGUCAACUGUUCGAUGAUUAUUUUUGAAGAGGAGUUUUACUUAAGAUGAA